ACCUGCGGAAGGAUCAUUGAAUAUAAAACCACAAUGUGAACCUAUCUGUUCCGUGCCUUAGCUGCCAGCAAGGCAAUUGGCUUUGCCCAAUUGUGCUUGCAAGCUGGUGCGAGUAAUUUUAUUACUUGCAUCAGUGGCGCUCUGGCAUGCUUAUACACCAGUGCUAACCACUGUCAAAACCAAACUCUGAAGCUUUGAUUGCUAUUAAUUGGCAAUCUUAACCAAAGACAACUCUCAACAACGGAUAUCUUGGCUCUCGCAACGAUGAAGAACGCAGCGAAAUGCGAUACGUAGUGUGAAUUGCAGAAUUCCGUGAACCAUCGAAUCUUUGAACGCAUAUUGCGCUCGAGCCCUCGGGCAAGAGCAUGUCUGCCUCAGCGUCGGUUUAUAACCUCACCCCUCUCUCCUUUUGGAGGGCUGGUCAGCUUUUAGUUGGCCUCAGGGGUGGAUCUGGCUUUCCCAAUUGGUUCACUCCGAUUGGGUUGGCUGAAGCUUAGAGGCUUAAGCAAGGACCCGAUAUGGGCUUCAACUGGAUAGGUAGCACCGGCUUCUGCCGACUACACGAAGUUGUGGCUUGUGGACUUUGCUAGAGGCCAAGCAGGAAACAUGCUCUGCAUGUCUUAAACUUUCGACCUGAGCUCAGGCAAGGCUACCCGCUGAACUUAAG
rnacentral:rRNA from 1 species